UUUGCAGUGUUUCAGUGAACACACCAGGUCUGUCAACAGUAGAAACGUACCGUUUUUGUGCGCUGUAAGUUGCCAACGUAUUUACAUUACAAUAGCCGUCACGGAGUGGUGUACCGGGUUCUGCCAGGCGAUGGCAUCAGCUGUACAACUUUGCGUUGCAAUUGGAGUGUUGCAGACGGAAAACAGAUGGCAGAGCAGUAGCAACCAGACCGGUGCACAGUCCCAGGAAUGAAGAUGGGUGGGGGAAAAUGAAGAAACUGCAAAGGCAACAUUAUACACAGUGCAGCCCCGAGCUUGCUGCAGUGCCUGCCUGUGUGGAAGCAGCCACUCAAGCACACUGGAGCAGCUGGGGCAUGUGGCAGCAUUCCUUCCUACUGCGUGUCCUGUGGGUGCACAUUGGUUUGUGUCAGAAAAGGAGCAGAGGAGGUGGUACACUAGCUUGCCCAUUUCAUAUCUUAAUCAGCAGGUAUUUUUCCUUUGCUUUUUCCUGGGCUAAGGCAUGCUGUUAGUGACAAGAGUGAAUGCUGGGAGGGGUGAGACUUUUAGACCUUCAGACUUGUCAGCACUGAUCUUAAUAUACAAAAGGUGAAAAUGUUGGGGGGGGUGGUUUAAUAAAAACAGGCAAAAAACUCGAGAGGUAUUUUAAUUGUAAGCCGUCUCUUGGUUUUGUUUUGAUUGUUUUGAUUUCAUUGGUUUUCUUGUUUGUUUUGAAUUUAGGAGGGGAGUUAAUUUGCUUCCAGAUCUCAUACAGCGCCUUUUGAAAUUGCUUCCCUUUGUUCUCUCCACUUUUCUUCCUCCAAUAGUCACACUGUUGUAAAAGAUUUUGAUCAGAAAAUAUACCAGCAGGGAUUGGAACCACAUUGUUCUGUUGCUUUGGAAACAACUAAGAAGAGAAGUUUUCAUGAAAAUCCUGCAGACAAAGGUUCUCAGCCCAUACACUGAGCUUAAUUUCAGGGAGUUGUACAUUCUUGGGCAAGCUUAUUGCUUUUCCUCUUAGCCUGAGGGGAGACGGCCAUUGGGUGCUGAAAUUCAGUGCAGUUUGAUAGGGCUGUGUUGGCAGGGGUUGCGUCUGCAGCAGUCUGCUGUAACAGAGGAGGGCUUAUUGUGUGUAGCUGGAGCAGGCAGAGUUUGUGUAGCAACGGCUCUCCAGCCAAUCGUCGGAGGAGUUAGAUAAAGUGGAAGUGUUUGUAGCACUUCCUCUGCUUUUCUUUUUAAUUAGGCCAUAUUCUUUCCUGAACCCCCUCCUCCACUGCAAGCAUCAGACAGCAUCCUGAAGCUUUCACUCUGUUCUGUGCAGUAGAAUUUGGAUAUUGGAAAGAACUGCAAUUUGAACCUAGCUGGUUUUGUCUAAUCUUUUUGUUUUGAGCCAUGUUUGCCAGGAGAAGGUUCUGUAUUUUGUUUUCCUCUGCCUUUCUUGGAGAGUCCCUCGCAGUGCUGGCUGUGCUGUUCAUCUAAGUAAGAUGUCUGAAUUUGUGUGUAGGCAUUUUACUAAGAGGACUUAGUAGGAAAAAAAAAAUAUCUCAUUGGCCUUUAGUUCAGUUUCUCAAUGUGUGUUUUGAUUAACUAGACUACAGCAGAGGGAGUUCUGGAAGCUGCUGCAUACAGCAUUACGUGGCUCACCAUAUCAGAGAGGGCUGACUCAUAAACGGUUCGCUCUGCUAUUAGCGAGUUUCCUUUAAUGAGGCGGAGGGGGUUGGAUAGUGCAUGCAGAUGAUGCUGGCAAGUAGCCUUGUGCUGGGAGGAGAUGGGAGAGGUUAAGAAUUAAUGCAUGUCAGAAAAGCUAGUACUGGGGAACUGAACUCUCUUUCCACCUUACAGCUAUUUGAGACAGCUGGAUGCAUUGGAUAAUAGGAAGACAGAAGAAAAUGAUCCCUGAAGCGCCUCAGUCCACUGAGGAACUCUUUUGGAACAGAGGAAAAUCAGUCUUUUACUUAAAUAAGCUGAGUUUUCUUCUGCUGAGGAACAUCUGCAGCCCAAUAUCAGGGCUGUUUGGUGAAGCUGUAUCAUGUUGGUGGUGAGCAGUGUCCUUGCUUUGGUUCAAAAAAAUAAAAAGAAAAGGUCCAACCUGAAGUAACAGCAGCUGAGUUUCAGGGAAGAUACACAUUGCAUCUCCUGUUGUUACACACAGAGGCCUUGUGUUCUGCAGAAUAACAUGUCCUGCUGUUUUUGACAAGUUGUUGAAUUUGGUUUUAUGGUCUUUCAUAUCCUGCAGCCCUGUUAGCAUUUCUUUUUAGAAUUCUGUAUGACCCAAAGCCAAAGGAAUGACAGCCUGUUGCUCAGCUGGCAGAAGUGGCCGAGGGCACUGAUCACACAACAAAGUCUGUAAUGUUUUGGAAACAAGCAGUCCUCUUUUAAAAGACCAGUUUUAGUGAAAGUGUUUCCAGUGCUUAUCAGGAAGAAGAUAGGAUGUUUAUUUUCUGGUAAAAAAAGUUGUGCAAACACUGAACUCCAUAUAUACCAAACCUUAAAAUAUCAUUUUCAUUGGUAGAAUACUUGUGCAUUUUCACCCACACAUCGAUGCAGGUUGUUUGUGGAAGGCUGCAGUUUUAUUGGUGUUGCACUUCUCCUACAAACAAGUUGGAAGUAGGCUACAAGCUGAGUGUUUAUUGAAUGACACUUGUAGAGAGUGCUCUGUGUUCUCCUCCUGUGGAAAUAAACAUCAGGGUCCGUUUUAAGAGGCCAUUAAUUGGGGAAAUGAAACCGUAUGUGACACAAAUGCUACAUGUGUACAAGGCCACAGAACAGAGCUAAACAGAGCUGAUCCAUGUGUGGGUGCUGUGAACCAGUCACCAUUCUAUUAAUUAAAAGCGACAUUGUUAUGAAAUAGUCGUUACUUUGGAUGCCAAGGCAUGACCCCUGUACACAGUGAAAUUAGCUAAAUUUGCUAUGGUGUGUUUUGAAUAAAGCACUGUGAAACUGGCCUCUAAAAAUAGCUUUUAUCCUGGCAUCAAGAAAGCAAGCUGUAGUACUGCAGCACUCUUUAAGUGUCGCAUUUUCCUUUUUGGUCGACAUGAUAGAUGUGUUUCAGUGACUUCUGUACAUAUUGCUAAGAUAUGUGCAUGACUGCAAGGGAGACAUCUUGUUUUAGGAAGUUCAGUAGACAGCUGGAUGUUCAGGAAAUAUCACUGACCAGUAAAGCACUGCUACCUGUGUUCUUGGUAAGAGAAAGAGUUCUGUUCAAGAAACUCGAAACUGAUGUAUUUGGGAAGGUAGGAGUGGGAGAGAAAAAGGAGACUGACUAUUGCUUUCAUUACUGAAUACAAGUAACUAUUUUGCAGACAGCCUUAGUUCAUGAGCUGCAUGGAAUUGGGAUGCUCUCACUGUCGAGUUUCAACUUGCAGAUGUUCUGAGGAGAUGCUAGACAGCCCUGUUUUACCCUACAGAAAACUUUUGUUGAGUUUAGGUGCAUUUGCUGUUUUGACUGCAUUUGUUCAUGAUUGAGAGGUCACUGUCUGAAUAGAAGAGGAGGAGAAUGGAGUGAGAAGCCUCUUUUCCUGGUAUCUUAUUCCUUAUGCUACUCCUCUCAAUGCAGAAAGAAGUCUCUGUCUCUGCUGUUUUUCCAGUUGCCUUUUAUCUGACUAGAAAACAACACUGAGUUUGGUUCCUAUAUUUCACUGACUUCUCCACGCAUGUAACUUAAAAAAGAAUAGAUCUGUCUAUCAAGUUUUGCAGGUUGGUGGAGUAAGUUGUUUGAUGCCUAGGCAGGAGUUACAGAUGAAAGAAGCACAGGAACCCAUGAUGAUUCUUUCCACCAUCAGAAGACCAGGAAGGUCAGGAUAUAUUCCUCAUAUCCUCUGGACUGCCAGCAUGAAAUAAUUCUAGCCUGUAAACAGCAACAUCUCAGAUGUGUUGGUGAAAUGGCAUUGGCUGAAGUAGUCUUACUGGCAUCGUAAGAAUACAAACCACUAUUCUCACAGAGGUACAGAAUAAUAGCACAAAAAGUGUGGAAGCUGGUAAGUCAAACCAGUGCACAGUAAGUUUCGUGUGAACUUUGGUAGCUCAAGAUUUCAAUGUGUUUAUUUCUGUUAACUUCUCUUUCUCUUCCAUGCUUUACAGUUCAGCAAGUGCUAUAUUAUUUUGAAUUAUUUCAUUCCUGCCUCUAAUCUGUAUUUGAAUCACUGUCAUGAAUUUUCACUGCUCAGUUUUUACCUCAAUUGAAGGAUGUGAAUUCUACCAACCACAGAGCCAAGUCGUCUUCCUACAGGAUUCUCCCUUUGAAGGAGCCACUGGUGAUGCAGUACCUGCUUUGCAUCAGCACAUCUCAAAUAAGAUUGCCCAUACCAGACAUCCAUUAUGGUCCAAGACAAUUCCUCUUCACUCAGUGCAGCCCAGGCAAGCCCAGAAGUUGGACACCUGCAGCAUGGCAAGUAAUGAGCAGGCCAGCAGGUGGAUAACUCACAUUGAUGCAGUGUGUGCCACAUGUGCAUUGCACCAAGAGGAAAGCGAUCGAGUCUCUAUCUUCCCAAACUUAGUGACUGUAGCUGUGGAUCUGAAUGACAAGGGUUAUGGAUAAAAAGGGGCACUGUUGUUUGUGGGAGCGACGUGAACUCGCAGACUGAACUCAGCGAUUUUAAUCGUCACAGUAAACAUCUCUGUGCUCUACUUAAUUUAUAUGUCAUUAGAUGGUGACAUUUUCAGUUGCUUUAGUGUCAGCUAUAGGUGCAUGUCACCUUCCUUUUUUGAAAAGAGGCACUAAUUAGAUUGAUCUAUUAUCUGUGAACAAAAUAGCAUGAAUACUAACAUUAUAACAGUAUACAGAUUUCAGAAAGGAUCGCACCUGUUUGUGUGUACUUGUAAAGCUUCACUCUGUAAAUACUACAAGAUACAGAAUAAUAACAUUUGUUCAAAUGUUUUGAAAUACAUUAUUGAUUUUUUUUUUUCUUUCCU